UAAAAUUAUAAUCUUAACUAGUAUUUUAUUUCGGUAAUUAAGUAAUUAAGAAAUUAAACCUUUUAUUUAGGUAGUUUUGUUUACGAGUUGUAGCAAAGUAAAGAAGAGAAGGGAAAAAAAGUAAGGAGAGAAAAGAAGAGAAAAGAAACAAAAACAAAUUUGUCUUUUGUGCUCCCGAGUUGGAGAGAAAUGGAAGGAAACUUAAACAUUUUAUUCUUUCUUUUCAAAUCCUUUAAAAUCGGAAAAAAAGUUAGGAGGGAAUGUGAUCAUUCCAUUUCAUUCCACAUCUUUCCUUUAAUGAAACUCAGGAGCAACAAUCUCUCUUACUUUACUCUCAUUUCCACUUAUUUUUUUUCUUUUCUCUCCUUAAGUUGAAUUCGGGAGUGCAGUGUUAGGGUUUGAACUCGGGAGUAACAAUCUCUCUUACUUUCCUCUCAUUUCCACUUAAUUCUUUUCUUUUCCCUCCUUAAGUUGAACUCGGGACCGCAGUGUUAGUGAUUUCAAACCUUAACCAUUAUAAGUAUAACGUGACCUAUGAUCUCACCCACAAAUUUCUUAUCAAGAACGGUGCCUCCAACUAACGUAGGAUCCAUCUUCAUCACCGAUUGCAUACAUCGGGUUGCAAACCUCUUCAUGUUGGCCAUCUAACCAUCGGUUUUAAUCACCAUCAACAUCAUUGUAGAGCACAUUAACCAUGUAUGUUGUAUGCUGCCACCAUCAAUCGAUUAACACAACACUACCAUUGAACCACUCUUAUUCAAAUUGGGGGUUUAUAAUUAUUGGAAAGAAGCAGAAGGUAUGAAACAUAUCAACUUUUUCUCACCAUUCUCUCUUCUAUUAUUUAUUCAUAUCAACAUUCUAAUAGUUUUUUCCGAAUACUCAUAACUAACAGUUCAGCAUUUUGAUGAAACCCAAAAUAAAAAAACGAUCUGUUUUGAAAUCAUUAACGCCUUUGAAUUAGUUAUCUACAAUUUGCAGCACCUUCAGGAGCUUCACUGUUAAAACUUCUUUAACUGGGUAUAAAUUAUUUUUUAGGUAUGUUUGUUGUUUGCUGCGUUUAAUUUGGUUAUUGCUCAAAUUUCUCCAUUGUUUUUUAUGUAACUCCAUAUUUGCUUUAGGUUUUAACGAUGGAAAUGACACUAAUUUUGACUUUCAAAAGUCAACGUUAGUUUUAAAUAUAAGAUAAAAUUAAUUUAAUGGAAGUAAUAUUUUUUGUGUGAAUAUAGUGAUCUUUUUUACUACACAUGUUUAUUCUUGAAUUUAAUUUAACACCUAUUUUUUCCCUUCAACUCAAAAUUGAAGUGGUUUAUGACUAUCCAAAGUCAAAAUAAAGCAACUCAUCAUAUCAAAAUGAAUAAUAGUUGAUGGUCUAAAGAUAAAUAGUUUUGACAACAUUAAUCUAUAAAACAAGAACUUAAGGGGUGUUUAACGUCCUUUUGGAAAUAAAUAGAUAAUCAGUUGUACAAAUUUGUUAUUUUUUUUGUUCUUGAUAAACAACUUCAUUAAUACUAUUUAGGUUUCAUUCUUUAAGAAUAUUAUGCAACAAGUUUCUGAUUGUAUUAAAAUAAUUUGUACAAAGUGUUAUACCCUAACAAAAUCAUAUAAAAAUCAUAAAAGAAUGAUUCUUUCAUGUUCUUUGGAAUUGUAUUUAGGUAACGAUUUAACAUGGUUGAGUGUAUUGAGCCUAGAUGCAGUCUUUGUAAUAUAUUGUUUAUGUUUUUAAUAAAUAUGUUAGUUGACCACUCUAUUCUACCAAGAAUUACAUUCUUAUGAUAACAUUUUCGUAAGAAUAGUUGGAAUCAAGUCGAGUAUUUUGGCCAUUUAAGGAGAUCAAGUGUAUUUGUUCAAGUAUUAUAUAUAUAUAUAUANNNNNNNNNNNNNNNNNNNNNNNNNNNNNNAACAUAUAAGAAUGCUAUUUUUUUAAGAAUUGUAUUCAUUUUUAUGACAUUCUGAUAAAAUAUAUAUAAUUAUAUUAAAUGUAUAAAGCUAUUAUUCUAUAAAAAUAAGUAUGAAUUUGUAUUUAAGUUUGGAUAUCUGUAAAUAUAUAAGAAUGUUGUUUUUAUUGAAUAACAUUCUAACAGAACAUUUUCAUAGAAUAUCAUUCUAAUAAAAUAUCAUUUUGACAGAAUAAAAUCGAUUAUGCUUAUAAAUUUUGAAAUUAAAUUAAUUUUAAAAAAAUCAUAUUUUUAAAGUUAAGAGAAUUAAUUAUUUCCUAAAAUCCAAAAUUUUCCUUUUUUAAAUUUAUGUUAAUUGACUAAAAUACCCUUAUAAUGAAAUUAGAUGAUAUCUUUCAAUUUAUUUUUAAUUCAAUAUAUAUUAAUCACUUUAUUAAAAUAACUAAAAUGAUUGGUUCACAGUCAUUCCUACAUCCACACAAUANUAUAUAUAUAUAUAUAUAUAUAUCUUGUAUGAUAGGAUGCAGAAGUAGUGGUAUGCUGGUUAGAGUGCCAAUAGGUUGGUUAUCAUCUAGUGGAGUGCCCUAGGGGUUGUAUGUAGUUAUGUAGGAUAGCCUGAGAACUUUUGAUUCAGGCUUUCUUACACGUUCCUUGUUUGGUUGUGGCUCUAGAGUAGGAUCAUCUGUUUAGGUGGCUAUCUCACCUUUAGGUACUUAUAGUUACGCAUUCCAUGGAGGUUAGUUAGUAGCAGAGCAGUAAGUUGUGAGGAGUCUAGUAGGUGGUAGUGAGAUACAUGAUUGAUAAUUUCUUGUAUUAUAUGCCUACUUGAUCAUUGAUUGUUAUAUGUCGACAUAUGGUUGUGAGUUAGGUUGAGACGGUCCCACGAUGUGCUAUAGGCCAAGAUAUCUGGUGUGGACCGGCUAUAAGCCAUAGGCAUGGAAGCUCGGGAAGAGUGGUUGGGUUGAGGCAGAAGGCCAACACACCCGGGGAAAUCCAAUCCGAUGAUUAUGGACCCGAUAUGCAUGCUAGUAUGUUUUUUGUAUGGGGUAUUUUGGGGAAACUGACUAAUUAAGCUUUAUGCUUACCCAGCUACUAUUAUUUUUCAGAUAUCAUCAGUGCGUGGGAAGGCGAAUGCAUGACUAUACACACUCAUCAACAUCUUUAAGGAUUCCCGUUAUUAUAUUACUCUGAUUUUCGAUAAAUGUAACCUAGAAUAAAUGGUUUUCGUAACUUGAAUUCUAAAACUGAGCAGUUUUACCUAAAUUAAAAAUGAAAUUUUUUGAUGUGAAAAUGGGACAUUACAUAGGUUUUCCUCAUUUGGCAGCCUCCACCCUCUGAGAUCCCAUCCCACCCAAACCCUAGCCUCCAUAUGUAUAUUUGAUGUCUAUGUGAAGCUUGAAGGAAGAAGGAGUCUAUUUUGGUGCUUGUGUGUUAGGUUCCAACUUAGAUCUUGCAUAUUCAUCAUAUUUCUAGACUUUUGGAGGUAUAAAGUCUUCACCUUCCACACUAGAUCUCUAGAUCUGGCCCUAGGUCAUUUUAUGAGCUUUUUAGUCCAUAUAUUCUUACUCUUGGGGUUUGAGUGAACUCCAGGACCUUAGUGAGUCUUAUUUGACUACUGGACCAUGGUGGUGGUUAAAAAGAGGAGUUUCAUGUAUUAGUUUGGUGUCCAUGCAAUGGGUGCAACUUAAGAGCUUCAGAUUUAUCUUGGCUUAUUAGGAUGUCUUAAUGGAUAAAGUUAGAAUCUUUAUCCAUUUAGACCUUGAGAAGGUUCAAAUAUGAGGUUUGUGGUUCAUGGGGUUAAGGGCUAAGAGCUUAAUCCAUUAAUAUUUGUGAGCCCAGUUCCCAUGGUGUGGUAGUCUGCCUGCCACAGUAUGGACAUUAGUGGCAGGGCCACAACAUGGAAGGUCAGUUGGGGUUGGAUUUGACCUUUGAAUUUUUGACCAUGUUGACUUUUGGUCAACUUGAGGGUUUGAGAGUGUAGACUAAAAGGGUAAUGUUAUAUUGAUGAAUAGGUGAUUCUUUGUAUCAGUCUUCACUAUCAGAGAGUGGUUAUGUUAGUCUGCUAUUUGCAAGGUGGGUCUUCUCACUAUAUUGCCUAUGUCAUAGUAGGGUGCAUGCUAGACUAGUUGAGUCUUAUUUGUUGAUUAUUUUUAUAUGUUUUAAUUGAGUUUGUGAUAACGCUAGAAUUGUUGAUAGUCUGCAUGAUUGUUAAUAACCCUUGAGGCUGCUGUGAGCCUAUAAGACUGCCAAUACUCUCAGGGUUGCUGAUAACCUAUAGUUGUUUAUUAUGGUGUGAUAUAUAUAUAUAUAUANNNNNNNNNNNNUGGGGAACUCACUAAGCUUCCUACUUAUAGUUGUUGAUUUAAAUGUGUUAGGUACUUCAGAUGAUUGUGGGAAGUUGAAGGCUUGAUUGUACACAUUCAUCGACAAUUUUUGUGAUUUCGCAUUUUUAUGCCACUCUUAUUUUUGGGAUGAUUGUAUUUGGUACUCAUGGUUUUCUUGAUUUAGUUUUAUGAAAAUAAUGUAUUACCUAAUUUCAAAAUAAAAGCAUGGUUGUGAAAAUAGGACCUUACAAGUUGGUAUCAGAACCCUGGUUUGAGACAUUUGGAUGAACACUCAUGUGAUUCCAGAAUCAAACUAAGGAUCUAAGAGUUUUCAUAAAUCUUUUGGCAAAGAUUAAAUCUUAAUAAAGGAAAAAGAAGAUGUGAUGUGUAUAGUUAGCUAGAGCUCGAGAAAA
rnacentral:lncRNA from 1 species